CGGAUGGUGUCAAAGACAGCUUCUCGUGAGAUUGUUGACUACAAAAAUAGCCCUGGCUUACACCUCAGAGGGCUUGCAAUGCCCUAUAAGUCUGUUUGAACUCUCAAUCUGGCGGCACCCAUUCACUGCAGAGGAUCCAUUGAAGGGCAAGUGAUAUAAUGCUAAAUUUCUACAAAUCUGUUGUGUUGAAGAGACAAGCUCAUCUACAAUCUGGACAGCUUGCAAGAGUGCGGAAGAAUAUGGCCUGAUAUGGAUCACCUCAGAUUUAAUAUCUGUGGUGAUUGUCAUCGGCAUCUUC